GGCGGCCGUGACUCCUAGGCCCCCUCUUCCUGAAGGCUGUCGCGCCCCUUCCUCAGCGCCCACGGUCUCGCUUCCUGAACUCCGUUCACUCCUAGCCUCCGGACGGGCCCGGCUCUUCGACGUGCGCUCUCGCGAGGAGGCGGCAGCUGGGACCAUCCCAGGGGCGCUCAACAUCCCGGUGUCCGAGUUGGAGAGUGCUCUGCAGAUGGAGCCAGCUGCCUUCCAGGCUUUAUAUUCUGCUGAGAAGCCAAAGCUGGAAGAUGAGCAUCUCGUUUUCUUCUGUCAGAUGGGCAAGCGGGGCCUCCAGGCCACGCAGCUGGCCCGGAGUCUUGGAUACACUGGGGCUCGCAACUACGCUGGAGCCUAUAGAGAAUGGUUGGAGAAAGAGAGUUAGGCAGGAGGCAGCUUACUGAUUGCCACCCCCUGGCCCCUUAAUGGCCACCUUAACUAAGGGUGUGAACGGGCUGACUUGGUGAA
rnacentral:lncRNA from 1 species